UACAGAGGUCUCAAGCGUUGUUCGGAUUUAUUGGGCGUAAAGGGUGCGUAGGCGGCGGGGGUUAGUUGGAUGUGAAACGCCAUGGCUCAACCGCGGCACUGCAUUCAAUACUACCCUGCUAGAGCGCUAGCGAGGAGACUGGAAUUUUACGGUGUAGCAGUGAAAUGCGUAGAUAUCAGGAGGAACACCGAUGGCGAAGGCAGGUCUCUGGGGCCAUAACUGACGCUGAGAAGCGAAAAGCAUGGGGGAGCGAAACAGGG
rnacentral:rRNA from 1 species